GAGCGGCGAACGGGUGAGUAACACGUGAGUAACCUGCCCUGGACUUUGGGAUAACCCUCGGAAACGGGGGCUAAUACCGGAUAUGACCUUUGGCUGCAUGGCUGGGGGUGGAAAGUUUUUCGGUCUGGGAUGGGCUCGCGGCCUAUCAGCUUGUUGGUGGGGUGAUGGCCUACCAAGGCGACGACGGGUAGCCGGCCUGAGAGGGCGACCGGCCACACUGGGACUGAGACACGGCCCAGACUCCUACGGGAGGCAGCAGUGGGGAAUAUUGCACAAUGGGCGGAAGCCUGAUGCAGCGACGCCGCGUGAGGGAUGACGGCCUUCGGGUUGUAAACCUCUUUCAGCAGGGACGAAGCGUNAGUGACGGUACCUGCAGAAGAAGCGCCGGCCAACUACGUGCCAGCAGCCGCGGUAAGACGUAGGGCGCGAGCGUUGUCCGGAUUUAUUGGGCGUAAAGAGCUCGUAGGCGGCUUGUCGCGUCGUCCGUGAAAACCUGCAGCUCAACUGCAGGCUUGCGGUCGAUACGGGCAGGCUAGAGUUCGGUAGGGGAGACUGGAAUUCCU
rnacentral:rRNA from 1 species